GCCAGCGUGGCGCAGUGGUUAGAGCACUGGACUUAUGACCCUGGAGAGCAGGGUUCAAAUUCCUGCUCGGCCA